rnacentral:rRNA from 1 species
CAAGUCGAGCGAGAAAAGGGGGGCAACUCCCUGAGUACAGCGGCGCACGGGUGAGUAACACGUGGGUAAUCUGCCCUGAAGUGGGGAAUAACACCGGGAAACCGGUGCUAAUACCGCAUACGAUCACGAGGUCUGCGGAUUUUGUGAUGAAAGGAGCAAUUCGCUUUAGGAGGAGCCCGCGGCUGAUUAGCUAGUUGGUGAGGUAAUGGCUCACCAAGGCAACGAUCAGUAUCCGGUCUGAGAGGACGGUCGGACACACUGGAACUGAGACACGGUCCAGACUCCUACGGGAGGCAGCAGUGGGGAAUUUUUGGCAAUGGGGGCAACCCUGACCAAGCAACGCCGCGUGGGUGAUGAAGUCUCUUGGGACGUAAAACCCUUUCGACGGGGAAGAAACCGCAAGGUUGACGGUACUCGUAGAAGAAGCCCCGGCUAACUCCGUGCCAGCAGCCGCGGUAAUACGGGGGGGGCAAGCGUUGUUCGGAAUUACUGGGCGUAAAGGGCGCGUAGGCGGUUCGCUAAGUUGGAUGUGAAAACUCUGGGCUCAACCCAGAGCCUGCAUCCAAAACUGGCGGGCUAGAGUUCUGGAGGGGGUAGCGGAAUUCCUGGUGUAGCGGUGAAAUGCGUAGAUAUCAGGAGGAACACCGGUGGCGAAGGCGGCUACCUGGACAGAAACUGACGCUGAGGCGCGAAAGCUAGGGGAGCAAACAGGAUUAGAUACCCUGGUAGUCCUAGCCCUAAACGAUGGAUACUUGGCGUGACGGGGAUUGAAUCCCGUCGUGCCGAAGCUAACGCAUUAAGUAUCCCGCCUGGGGAGUACGGUCGCAAGGCUUGAAACUCAAAGGAAUUGACGGGGGCCCGCACAAGCGGUGGA